CGGCAGAAGAUGUUUUUGUGUUGUUUUUUCUGACUGGGUUCAGAUUUGGUUUUAUUCUUGCUAAAUUUACUGUGACAACCGAGUCGUUGAGUUUAUAAGACAUCGAUAACAUCACUGUUGUUACAGCUAUAAAAUCAACAUGUCGAGUGAAGUUACUAUUACAGUUAGUUCUCAGGGUGAGCGAGCCAGUGCGCUGGGCGACUCAGGUGGCAUCGGAGGGCAGGAGUUGCCCUCCAAGAAAGCUUUCACCCGCCUCGAACAUAUCUGUGAGCUGGACAUAGACACGGUGGUUCACACCUGUAAACGAACUGGCGUCAUUGGGACUAUCGGUCCUGCAUGUAACACUGUUGAUCAGCUUGCAGAGAUGAUUGAAAAGGGAAUGGAUAUCGUGCGUAUCAACAUGGCGUAUGGAUCUUUUGAGUACAACAAACAGGCCGUGGAAAACAUACGAGAAGCUGAAAGUCGUGUGAACCAGAAAAUCCUGAAACCUGUUGCAAUCGCCGUCGACCUCCUGGGACCGAGGGCGCGGGUGGGAUCCUACAAACCGGAGUUGAGUCGUCGUAUAAAGCUGAACGUGGGUGAACGAGUGAAGUUCACGAGUGACAUUGCUAUGAAGGACAAGGGGGAGCGUGACCACAUGUAUGUGAAUGACGCGGACUUCAUUCAACGCACCAAGGUCGGUGACCAGAUCUACAUACAGGACGGACCGCUGCGAGUCGUGGUUGACGAGAAAGGGGAAGGCUUCUUGAUGUGUACUGUGGACUCCAGUGGAAUUAUGGGUAGUCAUGAACAGGUGCACGUUCCCAGGUCAUUACCGGGGAAGGCGCAGUUAUCGGAAAUAGACAAGAGAAUUAUUCAGUUUACACUAGACAAUGAUUGUGAUAUGAUAUUCGCAUCGUUCGUGUAUGACCCAAUUACAAUAACUCAGAUUCGAAUGGAGCUGGGAACUAAAGCCGAUCAGAUUAAAGUAAUCGCCAAGAUCGAAAACUACGAGGGAGUCAAAAAGUUUGAGGAGAUUAUGCGCCUGUCUGAUGGAGCGAUGAUAGCAAGAGGUGACCUUGGCAUUGAUUUUCCGCCCGAGAAAGUGUUCCUGGCCCAGAAGAAUCUGAUUGGUGUCGCUAACCGACUGGGAAAACCAGUCAUCUGUGCAGCACAGAUGUUGGACAGUAUGGAGUUUAACCCUCGUCCAACCAGAGCAGAAGCCAGUGAUGUGGCUAACGCCAUUCUCGACGGAGCCGACUGUGUUCUUUUGUCAAAGGAAACAGCAGCAGGAAAACACCCAAUAAAGUCGCUGGAAACUAUCGUCUCAAUCUGCCAUGAAGCUGAAGCAGCGGUAUUCAGUGAUAAUCUGUUCCGACAGCUCCGCACUCUGACAGUGACACCGUGCGACGGUACGCAGACGAUUGCCAUCGCCGCGGUAGAGGCUGCACUCAGAUGUCAGGCAUCAGCCAUCUUGGUGAUCACCACUACCGGCAGGUCAGCCGGUUUGGUUGCACAGUAUCGCCCUCACUGCUCUAUCAUUGCCGUCACGCGAUCCCCAAGCGUCGCCAAAUCUCUCCACCUGCAUCGUGGGAUCUACCCCAUUCUAUAUGAAGAGGAGAAAUGUGAUGACUGGGCGGAGGACAUCGACAAUCGUUUCCACAAGGGCCUGGUCGUGGCGCGCCAGCUAAAGGUCGUGUCGCCCGGCAACAUUGCCAUUCUCGUCACAGGGUGGAUGCCGGGGACGGGCUCAACCAACACCAUCCGUACUAUCACCGUGGGCGACAUGGAUAAACAUCAGUCGUUCACCCAGCUCACUCAAUGACCUCAAAAGUUCUAAUCAUGACUGAUUUUGGCCCCUGAGACAAUUGUGGAUCUGUCACUGGAAGAACUGUUGUGGAGGUGCAUACUGUGCUGCUUUUACACCAUGAAUAUUUGACGGUGCAUCUCCUUUGACCCGGAACUCUCUUCUUUGGUACUGUGCAAUCUAGAAGCAUUGGUCGACAGAGACCAUCAAGUACAGACAACUGAGGACAAGUCUGCAAGCUUUGGUCGACUGAGACUACAAGUUAUUGAGUGCUAUGUUUUCUGAUUUCAUUUUCAUCUGGAACAUUAAUUUGAUUUUGUUUUUUGAAAUUUGUGAUUUUAGUGCUAACCAAAAACUGUUCCCGUUUUUAUUCUUUGAUGAACAGCUUACAGUGACCCUCUACUUUCGAAGACACAGCAACAUUUUCUAAUCUUUUUGUCUCUGAACUUUAUCCAGGGCUCGAAUUUACAGAUGGCACUGUCAACAAUUGCCUUAUAGCUGCAAUAUGAAUUGCCAUAGGUCGGGGACCUUACCAAUGGCAGGUUGUUUUUUUUGCAACUGGAUAACUAUUCCCAUCCGUUGAAAGGAUAAUUUGAAAGAUUUAUUUUCGCUUUUAUUUGUUGUAAAUGUUACUGGUUUAAAAUUGUUGUAAGCAGAAUCAAAAUUGCUGUAAGAAAGCGUUUUGCCUUGGGCAAAAUUAUUUCAAAAUUGCUAUUGGUAACUAAUUCCUAAUUUCGAGCCCUGUUAAUCUGUGAUUUUAUAGAGCUAUCUGUCUCAAGAUAAGACGAGAACCACUCUCUGUGACAAUGUAUACAACUGUACACACGUGUGUAUGUACAGCACAGUAAUUAAAAGAGCUGUCCUGAGUUUGUUGCAGUGUUAUUCCAUUUUUUAAAUAUUUAUUUUCCCCCAGUCCAUUCUGACCAUGUCAAGGUUGGGGAGCCUUGAAUUCAUGGCCUUACAUCAAAGUAAUAUAAUUUAUA